rnacentral:rRNA from 1 species
UGAGGAAUAUUGCACAAUGGGCGCAAGCCUGAUGCAGCCACGCCGCGUGCGGGACGAAGGCCUUCGGGUCGUAAACCGCUUUUCUGGGGGAAGAGCAAGGACGGUACCUAAGGAAUAAGUCUCGGCUAACUACGUGCCGGCAGCCGCGGGAAAACGUAGGAGGCGAGCGUUAUCCGGAUUUACUGGGCGUAAAGCGCACGCAGGCGGCUCUGUUAGUCGGACGUGAAAGCUCCCGGCUUAACCGGGAGAGGCCGUUCGAUACUGCGGGGCUUGAGGUAGGGAGAGGAAUGCGGAAUUCCCGGUGUAGCGGUGGAAUGCGUAGAUAUCGGGAGGAACACCUGUGGCGAAAGCGGCAUUCUGGCCCUCACCUGACGCUGAGGUGCGAAAGCGUGGG